rnacentral:rRNA from 1 species
GACGAACGCUGGCGGCGUGCUUAACACAUGCAAGUCGAACGGAAAGGCCCUGCUUUUGUGGGGUGCUCGAGUGGCGAACGGGUGAGUAACACGUGAGUAACCUGCCCUUGACUUUGGGAUAACUUCAGGAAACUGGGGCUAAUAUCGUAUAGGAGCUCCUGCUGCAUGGUGGGGGUUGGAAAGUUUCGGCGGUUGGGGAUGGACGCGCGGCUUAUCAGCUUGUUGGUGGGGUAGUGGCUUACCAAGGCUUUGACGGGUAGCCGGCAUGAGAGGGUGAACGGGCACAUGGGGACUGAGAGACGGCCCAGAGUGCAACGGGGGGCAGCAGUGGGAAAUAUUGCACAAUGGGAGGAAGCCGGAUGAAGAAACGCCGCGUGCGGGAUGACGGCCUUCGGGUUGUGAACCGCUUUCGCCUGUGACGAAGCGUGAGUGACGGUAAUGGGUAAAGAAGCACCGGCUAACUACGUG